UACGGAGGAGGCUAGCGUUGUUCGGAAUUACUGGGCGUAAAGCGCACGUAGGCGGCUUUGUAAGUUAGAGGUGAAAGCCUGAUGCUCAACAUCAGAAUUGCCUUUAAGACUGCAUCGCUUGAACGUCGGAGAGGUGAGUGGAAUUCCGAGUGUAGAGGUGAAAUUCGUAGAUAUUCGGAAGAACACCAGUGGCGAAGGCGGCUCACUGGACGACUGUUGACGCUGAGGUGCGAAAGCGUGGGGAGCAAACAGG
rnacentral:rRNA from 1 species